rnacentral:rRNA from 1 species
AGCCCAACAGCUAGCCCCCCUAAAUAAACCCACCUAUCAGAUAUUACUACACCUUAAGAUACUAAACUUAUCAACUAAAACAUUUUUCCCCUUUAGUA